CGUAGUUUCAUUAUAAUCUAUAAGAGUUUUGCACAUGGUUAUAAUUUACAUUCACUCAGGCUGAAGUACAAACGCCUUCUGACUCACUAUAUUAGAGCACUACACAGGAAGUCGCGCGCUCACGUGGCUUGGGGCGUUUACGUCAUGACGCACGGCCGUCGCGCGCGCUCUCAUGCACAGACAGGUGCCUCAGGAUCCUCACAGGGUCUGCCUCUUCUCACCGAAGAUCCGAGAUCCGAAAAAAAUUGUUGAGUUUAUCCCAGGAAAACUGGAUGAGAUUUCAGACCAUUGAAAGACAUCAUGCCUCAAUCAUUCAUUCACACAUCUAUACACUCAUCCAUAUACACAUCCAUACACUCAUCCAUACGUUCAAAAUUCAUACACUCACCUAUACACUCAUCUAUUGACUUA